GACGAACCGUGCGACCGUUAUUCGGAAUCACUGGGCUUAAAGCGCGUGUAGGCGGGACGGCACGUCCGACGUUGAAAUCCCCCGGCUCAACCGGGGAACGGGCGCGGAUACGACCGUCCUGGAGGAACGUAGGGGGACCUGGAACUUCCGGUGGAGCGGUGAAAUGCGUUGAGAUCGGAAGGAACGCCCGUGGCGAAAGCGAGGUCCUGGACGUUUACUGACGCUGAGACGCGAAAGCCAGGGGAGCAAACGGG
rnacentral:rRNA from 1 species